UUGUUUUGUUGCUUUUAGAUUAUAAUUUAUAAAUAGCAAAUAAUUUAUAGAAAAAAAGCCUAAAAGCAAAUCAAGGAAAACUCGUUUAGAAAAUAGUCUGAAAUACGGAGGUCUCCCAUCAGAAAUGCCUUCAGCUGAUCUUCCAACAUUUCGUCAAGUAAUGUCUUCCUCUUCUUCAGAGAAAUUCAACCUUAAGAAAAUUACAAAAUCUUUUUGAAAGAGUAAAAUCUAUAAACCGAGGACGUUGUAAAUCUAAAAGUAAGGAGUAUCAUGAUUUGAUUUUAGAUAAACUCUUUGAUAUUUCAUCAUGUACUUGUGAAUUAACAACUGUUUUAUGUAAUGACCGAAAUGUUAAGUGUAGCAUCAUCAAUUGCCAAGUAGAGCACAUCUUGUGUCUUUGUAAAACUAGAAAGGUCCCUUCUGAAGACAGGGCAUAUAUUUGUGACCAGAGAAACAAGAUUGGUCCUAAAGGUAUUUACCAGCUAGGAAAGGCUGAUUUAAAAUCUGGUACAUUUAUUCCGCAAAGGUUUGUUCAAGUAGAGCUUAUAGAUCAUGUCAAAAUGCCUUACGCCCAUAACUCAUUGAUUGAUUCUGGUCACAUAUCUGAAUUUUCAGCAUCCGAUCCAAAUGUUUUGAUUAUGGAAUCAUUAAAUAUGGAGAUUUUAAUCAAGUUGUAGAUCGAAGCAAAAUUGAGAGAGAGAAGAAGAAAGUAAUGUCUAGAUAUGGUAAUCAACAUGAUAAUAAUUUAAGUAACUUGGUGUGUUUGGGUGUUGAUGGUAAAGAUGAUAAAAAUGUUCUUCAGUUUAAGGAUGACGAUUAUUAAGAAAUAAACGACUUUGUGGUUUUUUAAUAAUAAAUUUUGUUAUGCAUUUGAUGUUAAUAAAACAUAUUUAUAUAAAUGUACUUACUUUUUUCAAUGUGAGGAAUAUAAAAAUGUGUUUAGGAUUUAGGACCAAUGCAGUAGUAGGGUAGUGGUAAAGUGUUCAACUCGACAUUUGCAAGGUAUUUAUUUUAGAAAUAUUUCGCCUUUGGCAAUUGAAAUCUUGAUAAACACUUAUAUUCAUGAAUUUAAUUGAUAAACACUUAUAUUCAUGAAUUUAUUUAAAAACAUGUUCGGAUUUUGGUGAUGGUUAUCCAUGACUAUUUUUAUUACCCGUUUAUUACUGUAAUAGUUGAUCACUGUAAUAAUCACUGUUUUCGAAUAAAAAAUUAAGCAC